CCUACGGGAGGCAGCAGUCGAGAAUCAUUCACAAUGGGGGAAACCCUGAUGGUGCGACGCCGCGUGGGGGAAUGAAGGUCUUCGGAUUGUCAACCCCUGCCAUGUGGGAGCAAAUUAAAAAGAUAGUACCACAAGAGGAAGAGACGGCUAACUCUGUGCCAGCAGCCGCGGUAAUACAGAGGUCUCAAGCGUUGUUCAGAAUCACUGGGCGUACAGCGUGCGUAGGCUGUUUCGUAAGUCGUGUGUGAAAGGCGCGGGCUCAACCCGCGGACGGCACAUGAUACUGCGAGACUAGAGUAAUGGAGGGGGAACCGGAAUUCUCGGUGUAGCAGUGAAAUGCGUAGAUAGCGAGAGGAACACUCGUGGCGAAGGCGGGUUCCUGGACAUUAACUGACGCUGAGGCACGAAGGCCAGGGGAGCGAAAGGGAUUAGAUACCCUAGUAGUC
rnacentral:rRNA from 1 species